ACAGAAGAAGCUGCGGUCACCAACUCUCCCUCCCUGCCCCUGAGCACCAUCUAGAAAUAAUCACUUAAAAAGCAGCAUGACACUUCCUUAAAACAAGUCUCUGCUGAGGCUUGAGCAGAUGGCUUCCUGAGGACUUCUGAAGGCACUUCACAUGGCUUUGGCCGUUACAGAGAAGCAUAAAAAUAAGGGCUGAAAAAUUCGCGACUGUGAUGGGGAGCUAAAUAAGGAAACAGAGCUGCUUACUGAAAAGCCACCCCCUCCGAGAGAAAUGUCAGUGACACAAUGAGCACUAUUAUUCUGCUCCUUUACAACCAGAUCGGGGGUUUAUGGCUUUUUGUAGCAUCCUAAACAGAAGGAUAUUGAAGGGAGCUGAUUCUGCUUUGAUCCUUAUGCUUGUUGUCAAAGCGCUUGGGAUUGAAGAGACUGUUGGCUACAAUUGACUGUGACAAUUAGGAGAUGAUCAGAGCCCUAGAGUGGAGCACUUAAAGGUUGCGCUAAACUUGUUGAACAUCCCAAUAUUUAUGUGUGUUUAUCCCUGUAUCCAACGUAAAGAACAAACAGGAUACAUAAAAUAAAAUAUGAAUAGUACACAGCGCAAUGACAGAGUGAGUCUGGAAUGGCUUUGGCUUUAUGUGUGUCUGCAGAACUGAGGCAAUGGUAAAUCUGUACUAGAAAAAAAAAUGAGGCAUAGCAGGAGGUCCU